rnacentral:lncRNA from 1 species
UUCGGAACAUUUCAGGCAGCCAAUAUUCAUCAUAAGAUAUCAGGAAACUAAAUAAAAAAGAUAUCAAUGCUUGCUCCUUAAUUUUUAUAUAUAAGAUGCACACCAGUAGAACUCCAAAUGGUGGAUUAGAGGCUAGAAGGUUAAAUAGUACAAUAAUACAGCAAUUGGUUUCUUCAUAAUCGGAUAUUUAGCAGGAGUAUUUUAGUAUAAGUAGAGAUAUAAAAGAUGCAGAGCAUUUAAUAUAUAAGAAACAGAACUCCAUACCCUUUCAUAGCCCCGAAUAGUGUUAGUGGCCUUGUAAAUUUCGUGUUCCAUUGACUGUCCCCACGGGAAGUUUACCCAAGAUCGCAAUGUGCUCAGGUCAGUAAGGUCAUGGGUUGGCAGCUGAGCAGCACGACUUACUCGAUCCAUUAGGUAUGGCUGCACGGACUCAAGACGCACACAACAUACAUCACAUACUCGUUGCGGUUCCCCAGUGCGAAAUUUUUCAGGGAGCAAACUCUUUCCUUUAGUACAUUCAUUGCAAAAUAUCCCACCACAAAAUCGACAAUGAUGCCUGCUGCACAUGAUAGGGUGGAACCGCACACUACAUAACAUACAAGAAGAAGACUGAGCAGCACGGCUUACUCGAUCCAUUAGGUAUGGCUGCACGGACUCAAGACGCACACAACAUACAUCACAUACUCGUUGUGGUUCCCCAGUGCGAAAUUUUUCAGGGAGCAAACUCUUUCCUUUAGUACAUUCAUUGCAAAAUAUUCCGCCACAAAAUCGACAAUGAUGCC